AGGGCACCACCAGGAGUGGAGCCUGCGGCUUAAUUUGACUCAACACGGGGAAACUCACCAGGUCCAGACACAAUAAGGAUUGACAGAUUGAGAGCUCUUUCUUGAUUUUGUGGGUGGUGGUGCAUGGCCGUUCUUAGUUGGUGGAGUGAUUUGUCUGCUUAAUUGCGAUAACGAACGAGACCUUAACCUGCUAAAUAGUGCAGCUAGCUUUUGCUGGUUUGAUACUUCUUAGAGGGACUAUCGACAUCAAGUCGAUGGAAGUUUGAGGCA
rnacentral:rRNA from 1 species